rnacentral:tRNA from 1 species
GCCCUACUGGCUCAGAUGGUAAAGAAUCUGUCUGCAAUGCAGGAGACCUGGGUUCAAUCCCUGGGUUGGGAA